CGUGAGUAACCUGCCCUUGACUCUGGGAUAAGCGCUGGAAACGGCGUCUAAUACCGGAUACGACCUGCCCCGGCAUCGGGUGCGGGUGGAAAGUUUUUCGGUCAAGGAUGGACUCGCGGCCUAUCAGCUAGUUGGUGAGGUAAUGGCUCACCAAGGCGACGACGGGUAGCCGGCCUGAGAGGGUGACCGGCCACACUGGGACUGAGACACGGCCCAGACUCCUACGGGAGGCAGCAGUGGGGAAUAUUGCACAAUGGGCGAAAGCCUGAUGCAGCAACGCCGCGUGGGGGAUGACGGCCUUCGGGUUGUAAACCUCUUUUAGUAGGGAAGAAGGGCUUCGGCUUGACGGUACCUGCAGAAAAAGCACCGGCUAACUACGUGCCAGCAGCCGCGGUAAUACGUAGGGUGCAAGCGUUGUCCGGAAUUAUUGGGCGUAAAGAGCUCGUAGGCGGUUUGUCGCGUCUGCUGUGAAAACCCGAGGCUCAACC
rnacentral:rRNA from 1 species